UCCCUGGCAGUCCAGUGGUUAAGACUCUGUACUUCCACUGCAGCGGGCAUGGGUUUGAUCCCUAGUUGGGGAA
rnacentral:tRNA from 1 species